rnacentral:rRNA from 1 species
UACGGAGGGAGCUAGCGUUGUUCGGAAUUACUGGGCGUAAAGCGCACGUAGGCGGAUAUUUAAGUCAGGGGUGAAAUCCCAGAGCUCAACUCUGGAACUGCCUUUGAUACUGGGUAUCUAGAGUAUGGAAGAGGUGAGUGGAAUUCCGAGUGUAGAGGUGAAAUUCGUAGAUAUUCGGAGGAACACCAGUGGCGAAGGCGGCUCACUGGUCCAUUACUGACGCUGAGGUGCGAAAAGCGUGGGGAGCAAACAGG